GGUGUGAGGAGGUAGGAAGUAGAGCAGAGAGAAUUAAGGGGGUGGAGAUCUGAAGACAAGCCUGGAAGAAUAGAAAAAAAAGAAAAAGGAGCCUGGGGGGCAGGGGCUCGCAGAAAGAGCCUAAGGGGUGGGAAGAGAAAGAAGCAGGUUGUACUCCAGUUCCUCCUCCUAGGAGGAGCUCGGGGAGCAGGUGGGGUGCCUGACCCAUCCCCCCACAUAGGUAGCAGGGAAGAGACCAUCUUCUUCAAAUAAUCUCCUUUCCAGUGGCCCCCUUCCCACCACAGUAUAAAAAGAAAGGAGACAGCUGGCGUGCUUGGGGGAGGGGGGAGAGGGGACCCAGGGUUUGUUGGCUAAGAACCAACUCCCCCCUUCUGUAACCACAGCUUUCCGGAGGUGGCGGUGGUGGCCCUCCCCUUCCGACCAGCCCAAACUGACACCCUCCUCUUGUGGCCUCCGUGCCCUCUCAGAUCCACCCACUCAGCCCCCCGCACUCCCCUUCCCCCUGCCACAUUCCCAAAUACCCCCUCCUCUCCUUGGCCAGCUCCGGGGCAGAAAGAAGAACUGGGUUUCCGGAUGCCCAGUUCCCUACUGGGGGAGGUGACAAUAAACAAACAAACAGCAACAAAAGAGAGCACAGGUCCAGGUUGGACCUUCUCCCAGUUAGCACCAAGACAGGUAGCCUGGCUAAGAAUCAGCAGGGAGGUGGAGGUGAGGGCACUCCAUCGCCUGAAGGGCUCCAGUGGAGUACCAGCUCCCUGGCCUGAAGAUGGUAAUCAGGUAAGCCGUCCACCCAGCAGACACGGAAGGAAAGCCAGAGAUGAAGAUCAAAGCAGCUCUGGGCUGGGUUCUGGCCUUUCUGAGAACCAGCACAGUGUGGAAGCCCCACGGAGCUGGAAGGUGCUGUCUGGAUACACCACCUUCCUCCCAGUUCCCAGCUGCUCAGCUAAAGUCAGUUUGAUCAUUUUCUGGGGCCUGGGGUGUAGACGGGUCAUAGUAUUUGGGAAUGGAUCUGGAUACAAAGACAGGAAUAAAGGAUACUUUAAAAGCAGUGGCCAAGAGGU